CCUACGGGGUGCAGCAGUGAGGAAUAUUGGUCAAUGGCCGGAAGGCUGAACCAGCCAUGCCGCGUGAAGGUCAGUGCCCUAUGGGCGUUAAACUUCUUUUGUGCGGGAGCAAUAAUGGUCACGUGUGGCCAGACGAGAGUACCGUACGAAUAAGCAUCGGCUAACUCCGUGCCAGCAGCCGCGGUAAUACGGGGGAUGCAAGCGUUAUCCGGAUUUAUUGGGUUUAAAGGGUGCGUAGGCUGUGAGGUAAGUCAGCGGUGAAAUGCCCCCGCUCAACGGGGUGAAGUGCCAUUGAUACUGCCUGGCUGGAAUGCGGAUGCCGUGGGAGGAAUGUGCGGUGUAGCGGUGAAAUGCAUAGAUAUCACACAGAACACCGAUUGCGAAGGCAUCUCACGAAUCCGCGAUUGACGCUGAUGCACGAAAGCGUGGGUAUCAAACAGGAUUAGAUACCCGAGUAGUC
rnacentral:rRNA from 1 species